GCUGGGGUGGCGGAACUGGCAGACGCACAGGACUUAAAAUCCUGCGGGGGCGACCCCGUACCGGUUCGAUUCCGGUCCUCAGCA
rnacentral:tRNA from 1 species